rnacentral:lncRNA from 10 species
CCCAAAUGCCUUUCACCACAAUCUCCACUAUUAUUGAGAGUAUUCUUAAGCUUGAACUUCUCCACGCUGUGUUGCAGUGAAGUCAAUUCCUUUGAGAUGAGAUUAGAAACUGUUUUAUGGCCUGAUUCUUCUCCCAGGUGAACUUGCUGAGCUGGACUCAGGAACUGGGUGUGGGAACAAUGGAAAGCUUUUCUCUGCAUGACCACCCUACUCUAGGGGCUGUGCAUUCAGUGAUGGGAGGGGAGGAAACAGCCAGAGAUCCUCUCAGCUUGCCUGUCCUGUCACGGAACCACUGCCUCAUGAACCUAUGGGAAGUGCAUUCAGGACCCCAGUAUUUUCAGUACUCCAUCUCUCAUUAGCAAUCACCUGAAAUUUAGCCUCAGCAACGGAUAGCUAGGGCAGAAUGAGAAGUGUGGAAGACCUCCAGGGACUGAAGCUGCAGCAGCCUCAUGUUCUUGACUACAGCAGUUUGGAGUAGAGUCUCUACCUUGUUGAACUGAAUCAGCUACAAAACAUAAAAUACAUCUCAAAAAGAAAGAAAAAAACCCACAAGGUUUGGCAAAAGAAAGAAGAAAAAUAAAACUGAGUCCUCUGUCUUGCCUCAUCGCCUGGACUGGUCUUUGGACUCAAGCCAGGACUGACACCACCAUCAACCCCUUCUCUGCUACACAGGACUUCUGACUCAGACUAAAUUACAUUGUCAGCUUUCCUGUUUCUCCAGCUUCAAUAUGGCAUGUUAUAGGAUACCUCAGCCUCCAUAAUUAUGUUCUGAAAAAGACAUGUUGAACAGUGAGAAAUGGAGGAGCGGUGUGAUUAAUUGUCAAGAGAGAGAAGCACAGAAGCAUAACUCUUCUUCCUGACAGAUGCUCCAGCUGAUUACAUACAGUCAAGUAACAGAGUUGUUACAGAUAUUUGGCCAACUGUUUUAGGUACCAUCUGCUCAUUUUCCCCCAGAAGAGUAACCCCUUUUCAAAGGUUAAAGGGAAAGUUAAAAAGCCUGUUUAGACACUUCACAAAUUUUCACCAAUUUCCAGAAUUGUGAGUCACUUAAAUGAAAUGCAAAGAAAAAUUAACAUCAUAAGGGCAAGGGCCAUCAGAUUUGAGCUGGACAGAAAAAAAAAAGAUUACAAAGCAAAUAAAUACAGCUUGUCAUUAUUUCUUUUGUACUUUCUUUCUGCAGACUGAGUCAACCAGAAUCCAUAUCAUAAGCUGGACAUUUAUGUUACCCAUAGGAAUUCCUGUUAUGCAUCCUCUUAUGUUUGAAUGAAAUAGAUAAGCUACCAGAAGACUCUGAUGUAGGGGAUGACAGAGCCAACAGAUGCCUCCCUCAACCUAGUGAUUUACAUCCAUCACAUAAUCAAGAAAUAAGCUGUAUUAGUCCAUUUUCACACUGCUAUAAGAACUACCUGGGACUGGGUAAUUUAUAAAGAGAAGAGGUUUAAUUGACUCACAGUUCUGCAUGGCUGGGGAGGCCUCAGGAAACUUACAAUCAUGGCAGAAGGAGAAGCAGGCACAUCUUACAUGGUGGCAGGCAAGAGAAAGCAAGCAAGAGCAGAGAAAACCGCUUUAUAAAACCAUCAGAUCUCAUGAUAACUCACUCACCAUCACAAGAACAGCAUGGGAAAAGCCACCACCAUGAUCCAGCCACUUCCCACCUGGUCCCUCCCUUGACACGUGGAGAUUAUGGGGAUCAUAAUUUGAGAUGAGAUUUGGGUAGGGACACAGAGUUAAAUCAUAUCACAAGCUUUUGUUGUAUUAAGUAACUGAAAUUUUAGGAUUUUCUAUUUAUAUCACUUACCCUACCUUGAUUAAUAUAGUCAAUUUUGCAUCACUUAAGAAUCAUAAGCUUUUACCUACUCUGAUUUACAAACAAAUCUUGGUAAAUCAAUAUGUAUUAAUGUGCUAUUUUACAUACAAGAUUGAUCAAAUUUACACAUUUAAUAAAUGCCAGGUUCAAAAUUUGUACCCAAGUUUUUCUGAUUCCAAAUCCCCACAUUCUUUUUACUGCCCCACAUCACACAACUCCCAUACUUAUUUCAAUGGAAGAAGAAUUGAAAAGUGAGUUAAGUGUUGAUUUUUGCCAAACUAAGAUAACUAGAAAGAUUUUCUAGUUUUCAGCAUUAAGCUCUGAAUAAUAAGCCACCUAAAAAUAAAAUGCAAUCUUUAACAGAGCUGCACAUCUGUGAAUUAAAAGCACCAAUUUUUCUAUUCUCUUCACAUUAACACAAUUCAGUAUUUAUAGUCUCAUAUUUGGUUUACUUCUAUCAUAUAAAACCAGAUAAUAGCCAGUAAUGAAACGUCAUUUUCAUAGCUCUGAAGCAAACAGCAAAUAUCUCUAUUUUCAAUAUUUUAUGCUUAUGAUAUUUAGCAGAGGCUAUUUCAUUCAUUAAAGGGUACUCAUGUAUUAACAUAAAACAAAGUAAGGAGUACCACUCUCUCUUUCCAUGUAGAUGCAAUAUAGCAAAUCCAUUAAAAUGAGUGAUUUUUCUCCUUUAGCUUCUUAUGAACAUUUUAUAGUCAUUAGCACAUACUCUGAGUGCAUUGAAUAUUCUCUUCAAUACAUCUCUUUUCCUUGAGGUAUACUAUAUUAUUAACAAUGGUAAAACAUCUUUUUUUCUGUUCUCUUCUUUUUUAAAAAAAUUUUUUAAAUUAUACUUUAAGUUCUUGGAUACAUGUGCAGAACGCGCAGGUUUGUUACAUAGGUAUACACGUGCCGUGGUGGUUUGCUGCACCCAUUAACCUGUCAUCUACAUUAAGUAUUUCUCCUAGUGCUAUCCUUCCCCUAGGCCCCACGCCCUAACAGGCCCUGGUGUUUGAUGUUCCCCUCCCUGUGUCCAUGUG